GUCUACGGCCAUGCCACCCUGAACAAGCCCGAUGUCUGAUCUCGGAAGCUAAGCAGGGUUGGGCCUCGUUAGUACUUGGAUGGGAGACCACCUAGGAAGACCAGGUGCUGUAGGCA
rnacentral:rRNA from 1 species